rnacentral:rRNA from 1 species
UACGGGAGGCAGCAGUGGGGAAUAUUGCACAAUGGGCGCAAGCCUGAUGCAGCCAUGCCGCGUGUAUGAAGAAGGCCUUCGGGUUGUAAAGUACUUUCAGUCGUGAGGAAGGUGUUAAGGUUAAUAACCUUAGCAAUUGACGUUAGCGACAGAAGAAGCACCGGCUAACUCCGUGCCAGCAGCCGCGGUAAUACGGAGGGUGCGAGCGUUAAUCGGAAUUACUGGGCGUAAAGGGCACGCAGGCGGUUAAUUAAGUUGGAUGUGAAAUCCCCGGGCUUAACCUGGGAAUGGCAUUCAAGACUGGUUAGCUAGAGUCUUGUAGAGGGGGUAGAAUUCCAUGUGUAGCGGUGAAAUGCGUAGAGAUGUGGAGGAAUACCGGUGGCGAAGGCGGCCCCUGGGACAAAGGACUGACGCUCGAUGUGCGAAAGCGUGGGGAGCAAACAGGGAUUAGAUACC